rnacentral:rRNA from 1 species
CAGUAGUCACGAGUUUGACCUGGCUCAGAACGAACGCUGGCGGCAGGCCUAACACAUGCAAGUCGAGCGAGGUAGCAAUACCUAGCGGCGGACGGGUGAGUAACGCGUGGGAACGUACCCUUUGCUACGGAAUAGCCCCGGGAAACUGGGAGUAAUACCGUAUGUGCCCUUCGGGGGAAAGAUUUAUCGGCAAAGGAUCGGCCCGCGUUGGAUUAGGUAGUUGGUGGGGUAAUGGCCUACCAAGCCGACGAUCCAUAGCUGGUUUGAGAGGAUGAUCAGCCACACUGGGACUGAGACACGGCCCAGACUCCUACGGGAGGCAGCAGUGGGGAAUCUUAGACAAUGGGCGCAAGCCUGAUCUAGCCAUGCCGCGUGAGUGAUGAAGGCCUUAGGGUUGUAAAGCUCUUUCAGAUGGGAAGAUAAUGACGGUACCAUCAGAAGAAGCCCCGGCUAACUCCGUG